GAUCCCGGCGCGAGCGGAAGGGGCGGCCCCGGGGCGGGGCUUGGCGCGGGCCCGGCUCGCGACGCGCAUUCGCGGCCUCGGGUGCGCACGGUUGCUCCCGAGCGAACGGGGAGGCCCCGCCGCCGCCCGGGGUGCGACGCGCGGGGGCGCGCUCCUCGGGGCCCGGUGACCGCGGCCGACGGUGUUCCGCGGGCGGGGCGGGACGCGGCGACCCCGCCUGCGCGCUGCGGGCCCCGCGCCGAGCUCCCGCGGCCUGGGCCUGGACCCCGAGGCUUUUGUUGGGUGUCCUGCCCGGCGCCCGGGCCUCGGCGCCGCAGAGCGGGCUGGAUGUGGGUGCGGGAGGGGGAGCCUCCCCGGGAGGCCGGAGGGUGGGAGUAGCCGACUGAUUGCACCAUUAACCCCACUUGCCGGCGCAGUUUUGUUUCGGAAAAGAAAAUCUUAAUUAUCUGAUGGCAACAUUUCUGCAGGACAGAAUGAGUCAGACCAGCCCGGUUCGGCUUCUUCCCACUGUGCCAGGGCCAGCCGUUACCCUUGCGAGCCUCGGCUUCCUCUCCGGUGCCAACGGGGGAUGAGCACCGCACCCCAACAAGGAGGGAGACAUCAUCACCUCUUCAGGUGUUUAACCGUCGGGGCUUCGUCCGCUGGCGUACAACGUCCCAGUGCGAGGAGCGCUGGACGUUGUCCAAACCCUUGGGCAUCCUCUUAGGAAGCCACAGUCCCAACCCAGCCUCGCAGGGCUUGGGCUGUGCCUGCCUCAGUCCUCUGCAAGGCCCGCUCCUCAGUCCAACUCCUUCCUGCCGGACCGACUGCACUGACCUCGCUCCUUUCCAGCCGGCCUCCCGUGUUCAGGUAGAACUUCAGCUUGGGAGUACUUGGCUCUUUUCUGGGGGAAGACUUUGA
rnacentral:lncRNA from 1 species